GACGAACGCUGGCGGCGUGCUUAACACAUGCAAGUCGAACGAAGAGCGAUGGAAGCUUGCUUCUAUCAAUCUUAGUGGCGAACGGGUGAGUAACGCGUAAUCAACCUGCCCUUCAGAGGGGGACAACAGUUGGAAACGACUGCUAAUACCGCAUACGAUCUAAUCUCGGCAUCGAGGAUAGAUGAAAGGUGGCCUCUACAUGUAAGCUAUCACUGAAGGAGGGGAUUGCGUCUGAUUAGCUAGUUGGAGGGGUAACGGCCCACCAAGGCGAUGAUCAGUAGCCGGUCUGAGAGGAUGAACGGCCACAGUGGGACUGAGACACGGCCCAGACUCCUACGGGAGGCAGCAGUGGGGAAUCUUCCGCAAUGGACGAAAGUCUGACGGAGCAACGCCGCGUGAGCGAUGACGGCCUUCGGGUUGUAAAGCUCUGUUAAUCGGGACGAAAGGCCUUCUUGCGAAUAGUGAGAAGGAUUGACGGUACCGGAAGAGAAAGCCACGGCUAACUACGUG
rnacentral:rRNA from 1 species